rnacentral:rRNA from 1 species
GUGGGGAAUUUUGGACAAUGGGCGAAAGCCUGAUCCAGCAAUGCCGCGUGCAGGAUGAAGGCCUUCGGGUUGUAAACUGCUUUUGUACGGAACGAAAAGCUUCGGGUUAAUACCCUGGAGUCAUGACGGUACCGUAAGAAUAAGCACCGGCUAACUACGUGCCAGCAGCCGCGGUAAUACGUAGGGUGCAAGCGUUAAUCGGAAUUACUGGGCGUAAAGCGUGCGCAGGCGGUUUUGUAAGACAGAGGUGAAAUCCCCGGGCUCAACCUGGGAACUGCCUUUGUGACUGCAAGGCUAGAGUACGGCAGAGGGGGAUGGAAUUCCGCGUGUAGCAGUGAAAUGCGUAGAUAUGCGGAGGAACACCGAUGGCGAAGGCAAUCCCCUGGGCCUGUACUGACGCUCAUGCACGAAAGCGUGGGGAGCAAACAGGAUUAGAAACCCUAGUAGUCC